rnacentral:rRNA from 1 species
AUUGAACGCUGGCGGCAUGCCUUACACAUGUAAGUCGAACGGUAACAGGUCUUCGGAUGCUGACGAGUGGCGAACGGGUGAGUAAUACAUCGGAACGUGCCUAGUAGUGGGGGAUAACUACUCGAAAGAGUGGCUAAUACCGCAUGAGAUCUACGGAUGAAAGCAUGGGAUCGCAAGACCUUGUGCUACUAGAGCGGCCGAUGGCAGAUUAGGUAGUUGGUGGGAUAAAAGCUUACCAAGCCGACGAUCUGUAGCUGGGCUGAGAGGACGAUCAUGCACCCUGGGACUGGGACACGGCCCGGACUCCUACGGGAGGCAGCAGUGGGGAAGUUUGGACAAUGGGCGAAAGCCUGGUCCAGCAAUGCCGCGUGCAGGAUGAAGGCCUUCGGGUUGUAAACUGCUUUUGUACGGAACGAAAAGCCCCGGGUUAAUACCCUGGGGUCAUGACGGUACCGUAAGAAUAAGCACCGGCUAACUACGUGCCAGCCGCCACGGUAA